UACGGAGGGGGUUAGCGUUGUUCGGAAUUACUGGGCGUAAAGCGCACGUAGGCGGAUCAGAAAGUUGGGGGUGAAAUCCCGGGGCUCAACCCCGGGAACCUGCCUCCAAAAACUCCUGGUUCUUGAGUUCGAGAGAGGUGAGUGGAAUUCCGAGUGUAGAGGUGAAAUUCGUAGAUAUUCGGAAGGAACACCAGUGGCGAAAGGCGGGC
rnacentral:rRNA from 1 species